ACUAUACAACAUUUCAAGCGAACAACAAAAGGCAAAUAUUUCAGUUAAUUAAAUCCCACCCCGCUCUAAACACCUCACUCGCCAUCGCGGUCUCCCACCUCGCUCGAUUUGCCGUGAUUUGCCGAGAGAAACAAUCCCCUGAAUCUCACAGUCGAUCUCGUCUGCUUGUUCCAGAUAUGGAUUUCUUUAUGAACUGCAUAUGGGUUUAUUCUGUUGAUUUGAGCUCCGAAGGACUGAAAAUCCCAGAAAGAUUCAUGAGACACAUGGAAGGCAGAACAUCGGGGUUAGUUUCGUUGUUCGACCUUAGCGGCAGUGCGUGGAGCGUUGAAUUGAUUCAAUAGAAUGUUGGUUUGUUCUUGCAUCAUGGGUGGUCGGCAUUUGUGAGAGACCAUUACGCAUUUGAUGAGGCCUGGUGCGGAUGUUGUUUUAUUUAAGGUAAAGGCAUCGAUCCAAAAUAUGUGUGGAAAAAGAGAUGGAUUCAAUGUUAACAGUAGAACUUGUUUGCAGAUGUCAUCAACACAUGAAGUAGCUCCAUCGUUUAGUCCUCUAAGUUCUAUUCCGCUUGUUACUCGUCCAGCCUUUCUCUUUGAUUGUACUCAAACGGAUUGCCCCAGGGGGGUUUUUCUUUUUAAUAUAGUUUUUUA